rnacentral:rRNA from 1 species
AUUGAAUGCAGGAUGCUUAACACAUGCUAGUGGAACGGUAACAUGGAAGCUUGCUUCUGAUGACGAGUGGCGGACGGGUGAGUAAUACAUAGGAAUCUGCCUAGUAGUGGGGGACAACUUGGGGAAACUCAAGCUAAUACCGCAUACGCCCUACGGGGGAAAGCGGGGGAUCUUCGGACCUCGCGCUAUUAGAUGAGCCUGUGCGAGAUUAGCUAGUUGGUGAGGUAAUGGCUCACCAAGGCUACGAUCUCUAGCUGGUCUGAGAGGACGAUCAGCCACACUGGGACUGAGACACGGCCCAGACUCCUACGGGAGGCAGCAGUGGGGAAUAUUGGACAAUGGGCGCAAGCCUGAUCCAGCAAUACCGCGUGUGUGAAGAAGGCCUUAGGGUUGUAAAGCACUUUCAGCAGUGAGGAAAACUUGAAGUUAAUAAUUUCAGGUCUUGACGUUAACUGCAGAAGAAGCACCGGCUAACUCCGUGCCAGCAGCCGCGGUAAUACGGGGGGUGCAAGCGUUAUUCGGAAUUAUUGGGCGUAAAGGGCGCGUAGGCGGUCUUGUCGGUCAGAUGUGAAAGCCCAGGGCUUAACCCUGGAACUGCAUUCAAAACUGUCAGGCUAGAGUAUGGUAGAGGAUAGUGGAAUUUCCGGUGUAGCGGUGAAAUGCGUAGAGAUUGGAAGGAACAUCAGUGGCGAAGGCGGCUAUCUGGACCAAUACUGACGCUGAGGUGCGAAAGCGUGGGGAGCAAACAGGAUUAGAUCCCCUGGUAGUCCACGCCGUAAACGAUGUCAACUAGCCGUUGGAGGGCUUGUCCCUUUCCAACGGCGCAGCUAACGCAAUAAGUAGACCGCCUGGGGAGUACGGCCGCAAGGUUAAAACUCAAAUGAAUUGACGGGGGCCCGCACAAGCGGUGGAGCAUGUGGUUUAAUUCGAUGCAACGCGAAGAACCUUACCUGGAAUUGACAUCCUACUAACUUACUAGAGAUAGUUUGGUGCCUUCGGGAACGUAGUGACAGGUGCUGCAUGGCUGUCGUCAGCUCGUGUUGUGAAAUGUUGGGUUAAGUCCCGUAACGAGCGCAACCCUUAUCCUUAUUUGCCAGCACGUAAUGGUGGGAACUCUAGGGAGACUGCCGGUGACAAACCGGAGGAAGGGGGACGCGACGUCAAGUCAGCAUGGCCCUGACGCCCAGGUUGACUCACGGGUUACAAGGUACGGUACAGAGGGUUGCCAAGCCGCGAGGUGGAGCUAAUCCCUUAAAACCGUUCGUAGUCCGGAUUGGAGUCUGCAACUCGACUCCAUGAAGUCGGAAUCGCUAGUAAUCGCGAAUCAGAAUGUCGCGGUGAAUACGUUCCCGGGCCUUGUACACACCGCCCGUCACACCAUGGGAGUGGGUUGCAAAAGAAGUGGGUAGACUAACCUUCGGGAGGUCGCUCACCACUUUGUGAUUCAUGACUGGGGUG